CAGAUUGAAAAUUACUAAAUGCCGAAUCACCACCGCUGCUAACUCACACGCACAUGGAGCUUAAUGGAAUGUGGAAUUUUAUUGUUCCGACACUUUUCCAUUAUGCAAAUGUACCAAACAACCGCUUCGCUCCGCGAUACGCAUCGAGGAAUCAAUUUUAAUUAUCGUUGCAACGAAUAAUUAACAGAUCAUGUAUUGGGAUACAAGAAAAAAAGUUUACGUAAAAACCAAUGAAUGAUUGCCGCGCGCGGUAAUUGAUUGCCAAAAUCAUUGUUAAUAUAUCAAUGGAAAACACAAAAAUCACAUGUCUCUGUCACAAUCAUUUUCCCGCGAUAAUACCAGAGGCCUCAAAAACUGAGGAUUAAAACAUAAUCCUAUAUCUCUUUUGUCGAUUUUCGCGCAAUGUGAUCGAGAUAUUAUUCCUCAAGUCAAAUCAUUCAACAACCCUCUCUCGUCAACUUGGUCGAAUGUCGUUAACGCGGUUGAUGAAAACGGAACGAGGUAGCCGGUUGAUUAAUACUUUACCGAUUGGAAAAAAGUUGUGGAUAAGGCGAGCGGUGAUUUUGGCCAAAUGUUAUUUUGAUCGUCGACGGGUGUGCGUGUGCGUAUUCGCCUGAAAGCUGCGACUCUAACCGUGGCUGACAAAUGCCUUCCGCGAUUCUGGCAGCGGUGUACCGUUAUCCAAAUUACAAAUAACACACCGCCGUUGACGUUUUAUCCAACGCCCGAAGACAAAUUGCAGCCAACGUAGGACGGCCGAGCUCGAGAUUAUCCCCCUCUCACCGCUGCGCGUCUUCCAACUACUCUUCGUGGUGUAACCGCGUGUCGUGGACUCGGUUAAUACCGGUAGUUGCUCGGCCCCUUGGUCGGCACACAGAAUUAACACGGCGAAGUGUAUUUAUGGAUCAGGCCCGACCAGAUAUCCCGAGGAGGAGCGCAGGCAGAUCGUUCCAUCUCCACCUUUCCCUUCCUCUCGGUUCGCCUCGUCGCUCUCGUCGACGUUUCUUUUUCUUCCUCCACGGUGGAGGAUUAAUUAAUGAGACUGGACAAGCCAAGCAUUAUUACCUGCUUUACAGCACGGCGCGGCGCGGCGCACUGGCGUGGGAAUGUCUCCUCUUCUUCCCUCGAUUAUUACACGUAGCGGCGAAAUUUGCCGAGGGAACUUGGACCAUUAAUUUUCAUUCGCGAUCGCAUGAUAGGUCUCGGACAUGUAAUGAUCCAACGUGCUGCCGAUCACGUUUUUUUAUCUCCUUCUCUCGUAGCGUGGAAGGAACCGCGCGCACGCUCACAACCGUGAUGCAACCUUCCGCGUGCACUCGAGCCGCACACGCCGCUUGCAUUUCACAUCGGCAGUACGCAAACAGUGCAGCGAACGUGAAUUUGUCCUCAUAUCAGCAAUGAUUCCUCAUCGCCGCGCGCGCGCACCCACGUCCUUUAUCCCAGCCGAGUACGUUUGGGCGCGGAACGUUCUCGGGCAACGCCGAGGGCGCGAUAAUCAAAUAACAUCGGGCCGCCCUUGUGCCCGACGCCAUUGGCCCACAUCCCACCGCAUGCAGGACGUGAUACACGUGUACUCGCAGCGUGUAACGCGUGCUCGAAUAUAGUGGUCUCUCAGUGUGCAUCGCCGGGGCAUUUGCCAUGCACUCGCAGAGAGCCGCGUACCACGCGUAAUGCACAUUUGUAAAGCUAUACACGGGGCCCCGCGCAACCGCGACUAGACAUUUUUCACCGUGCCGCGAGUAACUUCCUUAAUUGAAACCUUUUGUGAAGGAACAAAGUGUAUUCUCGGUAACUGUAUAAAAAAAAAUGGGGGGGGGGGAGAGCAAGAGAGAAGGAGAAAGAAAGAAAAAGAGUAGAAGAAAAAGAGAAAUUUGCCGUCAUUUCAACUUUAAUAGCAGCAGGAAGAAGAAAUUACAGAGCGCGCGAUAUUAAUGUCAGCGCGAAAGAGAAAGCAUUAUUAUAGCCGCGACCGAGACGCCUGCGGCUAAACGUGUAAUAGAGCGCGUUUAAAUUGGAGCGAGACUUAAUUGAUUAAAAUGGACGUCGCGGCUUGGCUUAAAAUUCGAUUUUAGGUCAGUCGCGAGUGACUAAAUUAACUAACGAGAUAUUAGUGCCGCGGGGUAAUUUAAGAUCUUCUGGUAAGACGGUUGCUCUGUCGUCGUAUCCAGGUCGCUUAUACAAUGUUAAACGCGCCGAUCGAUUUUUCCCCGAAUAGUCUGCGACUGAUAUAUCUAUGUUGCACAACGUUCAUAAAUAAUUAUCGAUACCGCGCCAAAGUGCCGAGAUAUUUCUGAAGAAACCUAUAUAUUUACGGGCUUGCACCGAUUUUAAGAGAUUUACAAACACGCGUGGAAAACGACUAGACGACUAGACGACUCGAGAAUUUCGAUACGUGGAAGAAAUAUGGUUUUUUUUCGCGUGGAAGUUGUUUUCGUUUACUGACGACGAUGACGACGUCGAGAGGAACAAGAGCGAGGACGAGGACGAGGACGAGGACGACGGCGACGGUGACUACGUGGUGACGGCGAAGAGGGUGAUUUCGUCACGGCAGUCACGAUCGUCACGGUCGUCGCGCUGUGGCGAAGCAGAGGGAAACGAACGACUAACAGAAUCAUACUCGGAGGCUAUGGAAGGUUUUUAACGGUCGAUUUGCCGCGCAAAGCUCUCGUGUGAGUCGCCACGCCACGCCGUGUCCUCUCGAACUUUUGAGCGGCAGCUAAGAGCGACGGCGACAGCGCGACCGACGCUCACCCUACAGCCAGUUAGUGCCCUUAAACCGUCCGUACCCUAUACGCCGUUCGGCGUUUCGUCACGCCAAACGAGGGGGUCAAAACUGGCCGCAGAUGUCGGCCAUAAACCUUGUACGGGCACGACCGAAUGUACCAAUCGUCCCCUCGUACGUGUCCUUUCCCUUUUCAUCUCUCUCUCUCUCUCUCUCUCUCUCUCUCUCUCUCUCUCUCUCUCUCUCUCUCUCUCUCUCUCUCUUCCCGUCGUUUCGCCAUUGUAUCUUCCGCCGAAUACACGCCCUUAAAUAAAUCUAUCCACGAACUCCCGUCGCGUCGCGUCGUGACCACCAACCACCUACCCCUGCCUCCGUUGUCCUUUGUUACCUCGGCGCUGUUGUUACCGAGAUUAGGUUCGCGUUCCACGCACGUCGUCGUCCGACCUGUCCCUCGACUCGACAAUCCCCGAGUUGCUUUUUUAUUGGCCGACGGUGGGUCGAUUUCGAGAAAUCUCGUCCCCUAAUCUCGACGUAACAAUGUCAUAUUUGCAUCGAAUCGACGUAUCACGUUCCGGGAUACAUUCGCCGCGUAAUACGUACACGUUUACGAGCGUGUUAAUCCUGAUGGCGCGCGGCGGCACAGCGCGACGCACGCUGCCUCGCUGAAGCGGCGAACACCUAUCGGACGCGACGGCGCGGGCAACCGUGACACGCUUCGAGAGAUUCCACCACGAUCUUUAAUGACGAGGCGCGGCGGAUCGUUAACGAUCGCUCGUCGACGUUUAAUUAGCCGAGGCUCACGAUUACGAGCCGCAUUCGCUCACUCGCGAGCAACAAGCAGAGCCCCGCGGCGUAAUCGCAAUAGCCGCGACUGUAACGACCCGUGCCGGAGGGGAACUGUAAAAGGCUGGCGAGACAACGACGAGAUUCGCUUCUUCUUCUUCUUCUUCUUCGUCGUCGCUUCUCUUUCCUCCCUCCUCCCUCUCUCUCUCUCUCUCUCUCUCUCUCUCGAUCCAUCCGUGUGUAUUCCUCCGCGCUCCUUUUGCAUUUCGACUCUUUCUCCAUCCGCGGCACUUUCGUUGCACGCACGAAGCGAAUCGGCAAAUUACGACGAUUGAAAUUCAAUUCCGCGCGCGGUCGAGCGGCUAAUUAGACGCAAUUGCGACGGCGGCGACUAGGCAACUAGGCGACUCGUCGUCAGUAUGCAGACAGAGAGAGGAAUGAGAGAGAGGGAGAGAGAAGAGAGAAGAGAGAGACCUCGAGUCUACCCUGGAGACCCGCAUGUGUUGCAGCUUGGUGAUUAUGAAGCGAGGGAGCUCGGUGAUGCCAAAAACGCCGGAAGUUAUCUCUUCGAGCGAGAUACAUAUGCGCGAAUAUAAUCGACGUGGCUUAGCCUCGAGACAGUCGAGGGUACGAAUUAUGUGUAGCCUGGGAGAGCACGUAAUCCGCUUUUGCGAUUCCAACCAGGAGAGACAUACCUCUAUGGGCUGUGCGUACGUGUGUGUACGAGGUCGUAAGCCGGUCAAAACCCGUAAGGCGCGGAACGAUUAACGUGGUCGGGCAUGCGUGACGAAUAAUUAUCCAUUCGAAAGCUGCGUCGGCAGUCUGUCAGCGUUAACCGACCUCGGCGUAUGCCCGCAAUGUUACGACAUUGAAGUCGCAAACGACGUCGAUGGUCGUUUAUCGAUGGCUACUCCCGUACUAAACGUUUGUACCCGCUGACGUUACAGCGCGUUAUCGUAAAUAUGUGCGCGCACGCACAAUUAAAAAUUCCUAUGUCGUUUACGUGUUAAAGUACCGAAUAUAAUCGUCGCGAGUCUUCGUACAAGUCCUUUAGUCGAUCGGGUGUCGAAAGCGGUCAAAUACGGAUUACAGAUUCGUUAUAAACGGUAAUCUGCAUCGAGUUUCGACGGUACAUUUUUUUUAUCCGUAUAGAGAGAGAGAGCCGAGACUUCCUUUAAUGAAAAUUUGAACAAAAGAUGUAAUUUUGUUAAACGUGAGGUGUAAAAUUUCCUUUCUUUCCGGGACAGGAAGAGUCUCAUUAUACGUAAAAAGUUUAGCAAUUCGGCGCUGACAAUUAGCACUUGUAAAAUCGCAAACGGGCGUUGCUGUACGAGACAGACGGCGGACCCUCUUCGAUCGAGCUCCGUGUUUACCGAGUAAACAAAUCGCCCCGAUUGAGGGGAACCGUGACUGCCGCGUCAUCGAGCAUCGGUCUGUCUCCCCGCUUCGCCCUCUCGAACCAUCGACUUCACUUCACGGUUCGACGUUACCAAUGCGAUUCCAGCUCGUGCCCAUCUCUUCUAGCACGUUUUUACUUUUCCCCUCUUCUCCCCCCAGUUAACUAUCGCGUGGUCUAUCGCGCUAUUAUUAUCCCGAUCCGAGUCGUGGCGUCAUUAUUAUCCACGAGCGCGGGAGGUCGUCUGUAACCAUUGCAUCGCGACGGGCGGUGACUUAAUAACAGCUCGCUACGUAAGUGUAAUAGACGCUGCCGGUAACGUAAGCCCGCUAAUUUAUCGCUUUUUUCCACAAGUCCUCCCUCCCUCCUCUUCCUCUCUUACUAACAAUCUAUUCACUAACAGAUUGUUCACCUUUUUUCACAACGCGUUUCGCUUCCUUUUUAACGACGCGCGUUUCGUCAAAGUUGAUGUUUCGUCGUUUGCUCGACAGACAUUUGCCAAGUUCGAACGAGAGAGUCACACGGUCGAGAUAACACGUCAUCCAUACAGUUGAAAUAACAACUAUUUCGCAAUUGGGUCUUUUUUUUUGCCGCGUUGGACAGGCAGCUUCUCGACGCGGAUGUCCAUCAACAUUUGCGAACGUGUACGUACCGUAAAUGGUAAUCGGGACCGGGAAAGAAUCAGGCGCGUGAUUAUUGAUUUGCUAAGGAAUCGGCGCCUCGAAUCGACGAACAUCUGUAUUCCCGUGGUAUGACAGGGACCGUUUAACGCGCUACUGACUUUCUACGGAACAACGACCGCCCGCCUGUUUGUCGGUGGCACUUUCGCUCCGCGCGCGCGAUAACGAUCGGAAAACGUCCGCUCUCUCGUCGCGACAAUGGCUUGUCACUUGGAAUAAUAAUACGGAGCUACAGCAUAGGCACCUAGAGAGCGGGGAUGGACCUACGUUCCUACCGGCAAGUUCCUUGGGGCGAGCAUAAUGGCCUAUCCGGCGCACACUCGCGCUCACUUGGCCCAUCUGCAUACGGGGUGUGUGCGCCCGUAAGAACGAUUGUCGUUACCAUACGAGAAACGAGAGUGGCCGAGAGUGCGAUCCCUCCGGACGGAGUACCGAGACAAUGCGCCGUUUAUCUUCGAUCAAGCGGCAGAGGAGGAGGAGGAGGAGGAGGAAAGGAUCGCUCCGCUGAUGCGUAACGCCUCUCCUCGAACCGUAGGAGCCGAUAAAUCGCCGUUAAAACGUGCACUGGAGGAAUUCACCGCAACUCGGGCCUUUCGAGCGCUGGCAAUAUAACGGAAUAUCUAUAUGUCGACAUGAAAAUUCAUAAAGACGUACGUAUAUCGAGAAUAUGAAAAAUUCAUUCCGACAGCAAUAUGGAUUGUGCGGCAGAUCUAUCAUUCGUGUCAGACUUCGUAUCAUUUCUCGCCGGCCGUCAUCAACUAUGACAUACUGAACUUUGGAGCAGUUACGACGUCGUUACGACCUUGUUACGACCAAGAACUGAGUAAAGUUCCUCCUGCGGAUAAUUUAAUGUAGAAAUGUUGUAUGGAUGCAGAAAUGUAACGUGUGUAAAAAACGAUGAAAAAAUAUAUAUAUUAAUAUAAUAUGUGUUGUAAGUAAAUAUAGACAAAGAGCAACAUGAUGAUCAAGUUUGUAUAAUUUUACAAUGUUACUUUUAAUACGCGGUCAGUUAUAAAAUGUUGCUAUUUAUUCAGUACAUUAAAAAAUUAUUUUAUAAAAUAGUUAAAUGUAAAGUGAGAAUUCUCUCUGUUCUUUUCAGUUGUGGUUGUUAAUCUAUGAUUAAACAUUAUCGAACUUUGGCAAUAAAGAUGAUAGAAAUAA